GCUCCAGGCUUCCGCGUGGCAGGCAGAGCGCAGAGCCCAUUCCACCCAGUGCGAAUACCCCAAGCAGCCCACAUCUCUUCUCCCGAUGCCCGCUCCAACGUGCUCCUCCUGCCAUGCAGCCCGCGCUGCCCUCCGCCGCCCUCGCUCUGGGCAGGCGCUAUGCGGCUCCUGCUUCUGUGCAGCCUUUGAGGCCGAGGUGCUGCACACCGUGAUCGCCGGGUGCCUGCUGCCCCCGGGUGCCGUGGUGGCUGUGGGCGCCUCGGGUGGCAAGGAUUCCACGGUACUGGCACACGUGCUGCGCGAGCUCGCACCACGCCUGGGCAUCACGCUGCACCUGGUGGCGGUGGACGAGGGCAUCGGUGGCUACCGUGACGCAGCCCUGGAGGCCGUGAGCAGCCAGGCCGCGCGCUGGGAGCUCCCGCUCACCAUUGUGGCCUAUGCAGACCUGUUCGGGGGCUGGACGAUGGAUGCCGUGGCCCGCAGCACUGCCGGCUCUGGCCGCAGUCGCUCCUGCUGCACCUUCUGUGGGGUGCUGCGGCGGCGCGCGCUGGAGGAGGGUGCACGCCUCGUGGGAGCUACACACAUCGUGACUGGCCACAAUGCAGACGAUAUGGCGGAGACAGUGCUCAUGAACUUCCUGCGCGGUGAUGCUGGGCGGCUGGCGCGGGGUGGAGUGCUGGGCUCUGCUGGCGAGGGGUGCGCUCUCCCGCGGUGCCGGCCUCUGCAGUUUGCUUCGCAGAAGGAGGUGGUGCUGUACGCGCACUUCCGCCGCCUGCGCUACUUCUCCGAGGAGUGCGUAUAUGCACCCGAGGCUUUCCGUGGCCACGCUCGCGACCUGCUCAAGCGCCUGGAGGCAGCGCGGCCAUCGGCAGUGUUGGACCUCGUGCACUCGGCAGAGCGCCUUGCUCUUGCCCCAGCAGCUCGGCCCCCUCCUCCAGGUACCUGCACCCGCUGCGGGGCGCUGGCCAGCCAUGCGCUCUGCCAGGCCUGUGCGCUCCUGGAUGGCCUCAACCGAGGCUUGCCACGCCUGGCUAUCGGCAAGGGCCGCCGCAUGUUGCAAGCCGAGCCGCCACUGCCUGGGAACCCAAGCCAGGCCACCAGUGACCCUGCGGCCCCACAGGGACCCUGCACCUGUGAGCAACCCAGAAAUGGAGCCACCCUGUGCAGGGAAGGAGGAGACCGGGCAGUAACCACCUGUGUCCUACAGAGUGACGCGAGCCUCUUGGAGUGACCUAAGUCCUGAACUCUACAUUGUUCUGUGCCCUGAAAAGUGACUGUGCCCUGUAGUGCCCGUUCCUGUGAAGCGAUUGUGCACUGUGAAGUGACCUCCCUGCCCUUCCAGAGUUUCCUAUGGCCUAUGGGACCUGAGCUCUGUGGAGUAACUGUGUACGAUGGAGGGGCUGUGCUCUGCACAGCAACCUGAACCUUGGAUACGGUGAGGGAGCCCCUGGCUAGGCUACCAGGCCUGAGGGAGAAGGGACCAGCAACCCUACAUUCCUGCACACCUCUGUGGGCUCAGAAUAGCCCUGGCCUCACUUUGUCUGCCCAAGUCAGGCAACCUCAAGGCUUACGUGGCUAUCGGUCACUCAAUUGGAAGGCCACCGGGGCUGUCAUCAGCAUCAUCCACUCCUGGUAACCAAUAACUGGCUUGCCGUCACCCCGUCAGAUCUCUGCAGAGAGGAGAGUCCAGAGGUCAAAGUAGUUGGCCUACUAUGUCCAGUUUGGCGCUGCAUAGUAAGGAUUGGCUACCAGGGGGCUCCAGGCUUUUGGAUGCUACCUUGCCUUACAGACUGAGGAAACUUCCCCAAGAAGAGACUUGGUGCUGUGAGUCCUAUCUCCAGGUGUGGCCUGGCUGAGUACUAGAAGCUUUUUCCUGAUCUUCCCCAAACCUUGGACAGAACACUCCACUCCUUAACCUCUGUGGUCCUGUCCUCAGGGAAGUGACCUGCUUACCCCUUGAACUCCGCAGGUAUCCAUUUUCCUAAUUGAGUUAGGUCUGAAAGGCAGAGAGGAUGCCCUGCCUCCUUCAAGUUCCCCGAGGGUAUUAAGCACUGUGUCGAUUAUUCAUUCAGCAAACGUUGGACAUCCUUUGUUUGGUCCUUGGGUGUGAGGAAGCUGCAAUGAGCAGAGGCAGGAGCCUCUGUCUCCAGGCAUUUUCAACCUGUGAGAAAAGAACCACAUGCAAGUAAAUACCAGGCAGCUAUAAACUUCA